rnacentral:rRNA from 1 species
CCAGACUCCUACGGGAGGCAGCAGUGGGGAAUAUUGCACAAUGGGGGAAACCCUGAUGCAGCGACGCCGCGUGAGUGAAGAAGUAAUUCGUUACGUAAAGCUCUAUCAGCAGGGAAGAGAGUGACGGUACCUGAGUAAGAAGCCCCGGCUAACUACGUGCCAGCAGCCGCGGUAAUACGUAGGGGGCAAGCGUUAUCCGGAUUUACUGGGUGUAAAGGGAGCGUAGACGGUUACGCAAGUCUGAAGUGAAAGGCGGGGGCCCAACCCCCGGACUGCUUUGGAAACUGUGAAACUGGAGUGCAGGAGAGGUAAGUGGAAUUCCUAGUGUAGCGGUGAAAUGCGUAGAUAUUAGGAGGAACACCAGUGGCGAAGGCGGCUUACUGGACUGUAACUGACGUUGAGGCUCGAAAGCGUGGGGAGCAAACAGGAUUAGAUACCCCAGUAG